CCGGAGCCCGGUGAAACCCCGGGUGGCUCUUCCGGCCGCCAAUCCGCCGGAUAACG
rnacentral:ncRNA from 1 species